GAUUAAAAUAGUAUUAAAACGUAAGGGUUGUUCGAUGACCAGUUUUUUGCUGGGUAAUAUGAUCGAGGCCCUCAAUGUGGGGUGUUAGUGCAUGUGUGCGUCCGUGUGGUGUGUCAGGGCAGAUGGUUGGUUUUUAAUAAAGCAGGUUAGGAUAAUUCGUUUAACAGGUUAGGUGAAUUAACGUAGUGGCUUGGAGAAUGAGAUUAAUGAGGUUAAGAAAAGGGUUCAGGUUUAGCGACAAUGCCACUGACGCGGCUGCUACUGAGCUGUAGACCGACUCCAUCUAGUCACAACGGUAGAAACGUAAACAGACCAUCAGCAUCAUAAGCCCCCCCUUUCCGAUCAUCCCACUGGUUCCUGCAUUAGAAUGGCUUAAAAAUGUUAAGGCUGCCUCUCCAGCUUCUAGACAAGAUCAUCUCUGACAGUGCAACAACCUGUCCAGCAUUUGACAAAGAUGCGAAGUGAACGAGUGCCAGACUUCGUGGGGAAAAUGUCCAGACCACAGUUCUUCACGUGAGACACAUACAGAUUUGGGGUUAACAUCUCCCAAUUGUCACGCCCAGCUGUUGAGACCAGAGAUGGAUCAAGAGCUCAACCUCUACCAAUAUUUCGGCAGAGAACAGACAGUGGACCUGCUCCAGGGAUGUGUGGGGAUACAGGAGAGACUGGCAACUACUCUCUCUCUCCUCUAUCCUCAUCUAUCCUCAUCUAUCUGUCUCCACCACUGCUUGUAGACAACGAUGAUGAUAUUUGUCAAGUCUUGUCCUAUUAUUUUCAUAACUAGGGAUCGAACAGAACAUAUGUCGGCUAGUUGGUGGAAUCAUCCCCAGAAUGGGCCCCAUUUGCAUUUAAGGGUAUUCACAGAAAUCUCGGUAGGUUUUUCCUCCUGAAAUGGAUGAUCUCUGUUCUACUGCCUUAGUAAUCCAAUACAACCCUUUUGUCUGAACCAAGUAAUUUACCAUUAUAAUGAACAAAAUGUAGGUCUAGUUUCAGAUGUACUGCGGACAGUGGUUUGUUGUUGUUCUGAAAGCCUCAAUUCCCAACCUUGAACAAUGGGAGUAAAACAUAGUAGAUGCUGCAAACUGUAUCAACGAUCUCGUAGCCCCCUAAUGUCGCAUGCCAGACUUUACUACUACAGAGUAGGUUUGUUCUGCUAUAUUAUACCAGACUUUACUACUACAGAGUAGGUUUGUUCUGCUAUAUUAUACCAGACUUUACUACUACAGAGUAGGUUUGUUCUGCUAUAUUAUACCAGACUUUACUACUACAGAGUAGGUUUGUUCUGCUAUAUUAUACCAGACUUUACUACUACAGAGUAGGUUUGUUCUGCUAUAUUAUACCAGACUUUACUACUACAGAGUAGGUUUGUUCUGCUAUAUUAUACCAGACUUUACUACUACAGAGUAGGUUUGUUCUGCUAUAUUAUACCAGACUUUACUACUACAGAGUAGGUUUGUUCUGCUAUAUUAUACCAGACUUAACUACUACAGAGUAGGUUUGUUCUGCUAUAUUAUACCAGACUUUACUACUACAGAGUAGGUUUGUUCUGUUAUAUUAUACCAGACUUUACUACUACAGAGUAGGUUUGUUCUGCUAUAUUAUACCAGACUUUACUACUACAGAGUAGGUUUGUUCUGCUAUAUUAUACCAGACUUAACUACUACAGAGUAGGUUUGUUCUGUUAUAUUAUACCAGACUUUACUACUACAGAGUAGGUUUGUUCUACUAUAUUAUACCAGACUUAACUACUACAGAGUAGGUUUGUUCUGCUAUAUUAUACCAGACUUUACUACUACAGAGUAGGUUUGUUCUGCUAUAUUAUACCAGACUUUACUACUACAGAGUAGGUUUGUUCUGUUAUAUUAUACCAGACUUUACUACUACAGAGUAGGUUUGUUCUACUAUAUUAUACCAGACUUAACUACUACAGAGUAGGUUUGUUCUGCUAUAUUAUACCAGACUUUACUACUACAGAGUAGGUUUGUUCUACUAUAUCAGUGCUGCCCAACCCUCUUCCUGGAGAUCUACUGUCCUGUAGGUUUACAGUCCAAUCCUCUUCCUGGAGAUCUACUGUCCUGUAGGUUUACAGUCCAACCCUCUUCCUGGAGAUCUACUGUCCUGUAGGUUUACAGUCCAACCCUCUUCCUGGAGAUCUACUGUCCUGUAGGUUUACAGUCCAACC